GGAGCGACAUGCGAUGCGUUUCGUUUUCAUCCCGACCUAACACAAAAUGCAUAAACACACUGUCAGCAGGCAGAAGCAGGCAUCUUUUGACAGAGACAUGCCUGAUGUUAGGGUGAGCGGAUGGUGUGCGCGCAAUCUGCAGAUACAGUGUACGAGUGUGAGUGUGUCACAGACGUUUUAUUAUUAUAAUGCUACGGCGAUGAAUAUGUCUUUAU
ensembl:ncRNA R02D5.22 ncRNA